rnacentral:lncRNA from 1 species
GGAAAGUGAAGCCAUCCUCCUUGGAUUUUACUUUCCCUUCUCAUGGGAAAGUAAGGCCAGCAUUGAAUGCACCUUUUUCUGAUUAAUUUGUCCUUACUAAUAAUUUAUAAUUACAAUUUUUUCCAACAACUAUUGGUAUUCUUUUUUAUUUUUUUUAAUUCAUAUUUCUUAAAAUCCUCCCGGCAACAUUCUAUUUUCCCAUAACGUAUUUCUCAUAACUCUGUUUACACAAGGAAGGCAAAACUUCAACCUCACAAAAGUUUUCACAUACUCAUCCUCAGAGCAACUUCAAACAAGACGGAUAUUAUACUUCUAUUCAUCACCCAAUAUUUUCCAUUUUUAUUCUUCUUCUUCCUUUUUCUUUCCCACUUGAGCACCCAAAUAUUCAGUAUAUGAAUUGACUUGAGUUCUCGGUUUAAUAGUUGGAUUAUUUGGUGUCUUUCUACUUUUUCUUUUUUUUUUCUUUUUCUGGGUUUAACAUGUAUUUUUCUCUAAUACACUGUUUGAAAUUUUGGUUGAGCUAAGACUAGACAUUGAUAUCUCACACAUAUAUCUCUCAAAGAAUAUGAAUAUUGAGGGAAAGUUGCUAUCUCUCUAGGCUCACUUGUAUCAAUUACAAGUUGUGUUAAAUACGGCACUCUCUCACCAACUAAAGAGCAAAUUCUUUUUUGUUUGCAUAUAACCAAAAACAGCUACAAUCAAUCAAGAAAUUAUAGAGAUAGAGAAAAAAAAAAUUAAAGAGAGU